AAGGAACGUUGAAGACGACGACGUUGAUAGGUCGGGUGUGUAAGCGUAGCGAUACGUUGAGCUAACCGAUACUAAUGAACCGUGAGGCUUAACCUUACAACGCCGAAGC
rnacentral:rRNA from 1 species